UACAGGGGGUGCAAACGUUGCUCGGAAUUAUUGGGCGUAAAGCGCGCGUAGGCGGCCACUUAAGUCGGAUGUGAAAGCCCCUGGCUCAACUGGGGAAGUGCACCCGAAACUGAAUGGCUUGAAUGCAAAAGAGGGUCGCGGAAUUCCCGGUGUAGAGGUGAAAUUCGUAGAUAUCGGGAGGAACACCGGUGGCGAAGGCGGUUCUCUGGGCCUUACCUGACGCUGAGGCACGAAAGCGUGGGGAGCAAACAGG
rnacentral:rRNA from 1 species